UACAGAGGUCCCGAGCGUUGUUCGGAUUCACUGGGCGUAAAGGGUGCGUAGGUGGUGAGGUAAGUCGGAUGUGAAAGCUCCAAGCUCAACUUGGAACGGCAUUGGAAACUACCUUGCUAGAGGGUUUGAGGGGGGACUGGAAUACUUGGUGUAGCAGUGAAAUGCGUAGAUAUCAAGUGGAACACCAGUGGCGAAGGCGAGUCCCUGGAAAACUCCUGACACUGA
rnacentral:rRNA from 1 species